rnacentral:RNase_P_RNA from 1 species
CAACAGAGAACAGACCGCCGAUGGCCGCUUAGGCGGCACAGGCAAGGGUGAAACGGUGCGGUAAGAGCGCACCGGGCUCCUGGUAACAGUGAGUCGCUGGUAAACCCCACCCGCAGCAAGGCCAAAUAGGGAACGAGGAGUGGCCCGCUCCAUUUGAGUUCCGGGUAGGCUGCACGAGGCUGUUGGUAACAGCAGUCCUAGAUGAAUGAUCCUCCCCCGUAAGGGGACAGAACUCGGCUUAUUCCGCGCGUUCAACU